UCGGUCUCCCUGUUAGAGGCACGGUAGAUUUGUAUCUGCCAUGUAUUUGCAGAAACUUUUAGUUGCUUCUAGCUUCUUCUUCUUUUUAUCAGCAUAAAAAUAAUGUACUUUGUUCAAGCACAACUUUAUGCAUCAGCAAUGAAGCUCAAAAUUGUCAGACAUUUGGAUUAAGUGCACAGGAAAGUAAUUGAAGAAAGAGCAAAAAAAUUAUAAUACUCCUACUAGCGUACUAGGCAUGUACGUUAACAUCUAGAAAGCAAGGAGGGAGAUCUCAAAUGGAGUAAAAAACCAAAAAUUAUGCUUGCAUAUAUCUAAAGAGAAAAAUCACAUGCCACCACUGGAAAUGACAACAAUAAGAGGCAAACACAAAUUUCAAGAAUUGGAGCUUGAAGGUAUUUACCUUUAUAGUGGCACAUUUGUAGUCUGUAGAGUUAGCUUCAAUUCCUUUCUGGGUUCGCAUUAAGGAGCGUGUGUGCUGUGCCCAUUUGAGAGGCUAAAAUGGAUGCCUUGGUACUUAGUAUUUGCAUUGCAAAAUCUCUGCACGCCGUGACACCGUUUCUCGUUGAGGAUUUUCGUCGAACACUUGCUGAAUCAAAAUAGUGAUCAGACGCUUUCAAUGGGUUGGGUGGACAAAAUGUUAAGACCAAGAACAAGGUCCAAAAGGCAAGUAUAAGCGCUUAACGAGUGGUGCAAGACCUGGAAAGAGCCUGCAGUGAGAGGUUAGCAAUUGCAUCAUUAAAAAUUCAUCGAAUGGGUUUGUAGUGUCUGUUACCGAUGAGGUUUUUAAUUUGCCAUGCUGUUUUUCUUAUAUACAAUAACUAAUAAAUAGAACCAUGUAUUAUUAUUUUUUCUAUCAUUUGAUGAACUUAAAUAUCAAAUAGAAAUACAUAUUUACUCAUUUAAACAUACUUAUUCAAAAUAAUUAAUUUUAAACUAGAAUUAUUCAUUAAAUUUAUUUCAAAA
rnacentral:lncRNA from 1 species